CCCAAAAAAAAAAAUAAUCACUCCCCUCUCCUUCCCUCUCUUCUUCAUCUCUCUCCUUUUUUCCUCUCCGGCGACGCGUUUUCCACCGGCAAGUUUCUUCUCCGGCGAGUUUUUCUCCGGCGAACCUCCAAGAAAUCUGAAAGAUGAAUUCAUCACAAGGAGAACCAUCUACCCAAAAA